rnacentral:lncRNA from 1 species
CUCCUUUGUCCUGUUUUUCUGGUCCAUGAUUAAUAGCGGACAGUCUUUCAAGAGCAAGCAUUCUCCUGAGGUCUGGGAGGGGAGGCGAGGAGAAAGUCCAGGGCCUGAGAGCACAGGGUCAGGGAAACUGCGGUGGCCCGAGGCUGGUUUUCUAGUCAGGGCUCCCCGGGGAGGCAAGACAAGGAGGCGGGGUCCAGCCUUGGCGGACAGGAUUGUUAGCUUCCUCCUGGAUUUGGAGGGUCCGGCUGCCUGCAGGUUUGUUGCUGUGAUUGCGCCUGUCCGUUAGCCUUAGCACGGCCCUGAGAGCUGCAGGUACUGACAGUGAGGUGAGCUGACCACCAGACCAAGCUCGGACUAACUGUGAAGCUCCUGCAUCCUGCUUUUGCCCAGGACCUGGGAGCACUUUGAGCUGCUGAGAGUUUGAAGGUGUUUGGGAUGGUAAGGUAAGACAGGAUACGACCUGGAAAUUGCCUAAAGAUUUAUUAGAAGAAAGGGACUUAAAUUCCUAAGCCUUCUUUAAUUUCCUGGGCUUUAAAAAAAUCUCAUUCUAAGACACCUUCACUUACGUGGAAUUUGUGUUUUUAAUUUAUACUCUUUUUAACAAAAAUGAUCUCUCUCUCUCUCUCUCAGGUUAAUAUUAACAGAAUCUUAACCCAUCCUUGACUGCAACAAGGAAAUGCAAAGUGUGUAACCGGUGAAACCCACUGCAGGCGUGUCUGGCUCCCGCCGUGAUGGUGCAGGGUGGGUGACCAGUAGGUGAGAAAGCCUUACCCCA